GAUGAACGCUGGCGGCGUGCUUAACACAUGCAAGUCGAACGGUGAAGCAGAGCUUGCUCUGUGGAUCAGUGGCGAACGGGUGAGUAACACGUGAGCAACCUGCCCUGGACUCUGGGAUAAGCGCUGGAAACGGCGUCUAAUACCGGAUAUGAGCUGCGAUCGCAUGGUCAGCAGUUGGAAAGAUUUUUCGGUCUGGGAUGGGCUCACGGCCUAUCAGCUUGUUGGUGAGGUAAUGGCUCACCAAGGCGGCGACGGGUAGCCGGCCUGAGAGGGGGACCGGCCACACUGGGACUGAGACACGGCCCAGACUCCUACGGGAGGCAGCAGUGGGGAAUAUUGCAAAAUGGGCGGAAGCCUGAUGCAGCAACGCCGCGUGAGGGAUGACGGCCUUCGGGUUGUAAACCUCUUUUAGCAGGGAAGAAGCGAGAGUGACGGUACCUGCAGAAAAAGCGCCGGCUAACUACGUGCCAGCAGCCGCAGUAAUAC
rnacentral:rRNA from 1 species